AAAAAUCUGUGAAUACUUCCUGUAUUCAUCAAACCACAUGUGGAAUUGAGGAUAUGAGACAGUUUUGAGCUGAAAGGUUCAAUCUUUGAAGUUUGGUUAAUAAUUAUCAGAACAAGUUUCAAUUAACUGAGUUUUUCGUUAUGCUUUCAGCCACAUUACAUGGCCUUCCUCAGCAGAUGAGGAUGCUCAGCUGUCAUGGACGGCAAAGAGGUGUGGAUGAAAGCUUAGAGUCCACGUGAGACGACCUUGUUUGGAUAAUUAUUUGGCAUUUGACUCCAAUCUCCAAGGUCAAGAGCAACUUCUAGGGGUUAGAGGGCAAACAAUAAUACAAUCACUCAGACAAAAACAAAAUAUACAUCAUACAAAGCUUGAUAAUGCGUCACAUAGCAAAUAUACUAGCUUUUUUCCUUUUCUCCAGGUAGACCAUUUAUCAUUUUAUGAUUAAUGCUCUGCAGGAAUCUCUUCUCUCCUCAUGGGAAAUUAUAGUGCUUUACCAAAACUAGAAAUUCUCUUUAGUUAAGAAUACAUCAUUGUCAAUAAAUUAACAACUGUGCUUUUUGUGGUCACAUAUAACCAGCAGAAAGUUCAUGGGUCUGAACAAAUACUGCUGCAUGAGAGUGGACAUGGAUUUUACAUGUUCUUCACCUGGUCACAGAUGGACUUCAGCCCACAAGCACAUGACUCCUUUGAUUUGGACUUCACACAGAUCCUCACCAGACAUGCUGGGUAGAUGAAAAGACAACAGGUCUUAUUUUGGACAUCAUAUGACAGAACAUGUAAGAGCAUCUUAAGUUGUGGUAAGAUUGUGGUUUUAAUGGAGGAACAUAAAUCAUAAUAGCAAUAACUACUGGCAAUUGAAAAAUGUCCACAAAUGUAUAUGUAUUAAGUAUAUGUAUUAAACUAGAUCCACAUGUUGUUGACUGAAUAACUUCUUCAAACAUUUUCAACAUGAUUUUGUCAAAGCCAUCGCUCUGAACACUCUGUGCUGCAUUCACUUCUCGGAGGACGUGUAGCAGCUUGCAGGUUUAUUUUAAAACCAGACAAUGACCCAUAACAAACAAGCUUGACAUAGAUCACUGGAAAACUUCUCAGUCUAAUCCAUCACAGAUUCAUCUGCCAAUACAGUGAAUAACCACCACAAAGCCAACGCGGUUAUAUCACUGGACAGAAAUGUUUGUCAUUUCAAAAGAGUUUCAGAUGAAAAGCAAACAGCAGGAUUAGAAGAGAUGUCUGUAAUGAGCACAAAUUAAACUCCUCUUGGAAUAAAGUUAAAAGACAUGUACCCAAAAUAGCUGCAACACAAAACCCAUCAUAUUAUCCACAAUGAACCAAACCCAACACUGAGUUUUUGUUUUACUUUAAGAAUUUAUAGCUUCACAUGGAAUCCAAAAGCAGCACUUUUGCAAAAAAAAAAAAAAAA